CCACUGUUGUUAUUCCAAGUCACUCCAGCUGAGCAACUUCUUGAUCUUUAUCAGUAAAGGUACCUGCCUGCAGUGCUGGGGCUGCUGUGAGUGACUCUGGGUGGGCACAUGUCAAAAUCCCACCAGCUGUGGGGAGAGCAGGGCAGGCCAGGCCUCAGCUCCAUGUGCUCUUGGGCAAGGUGUGGCUUUCUGCUGGCCCCUCUGGAUGUCCUUCCCCUUCCAUUAAGGUGCCAAGAGAAUUAAACAAUGGCAACAGUACCAUUCCAGGUGUAAAAAAAUCCGCUAAAUGUCUUUUCCCCAAAAAUAAUUAUUUAAUUUCAGCUUUGCUUCACAAGAACAGUCCUCUUUCUUCCUACAACAGCCAGUUUGGCUUUGUGUGUCAGAAGGGCAUCAUGUGCCCUGGGGCUGGGGACACUGGACCUGCCCUGGGGUAGCCUUUGGAGCCCCACUGGAGCCAACCUGCUCCAUGGUGCACUUGGAACACUGACUGCACUUCUUGCACUGGCUGUUUUGGGGUCUGUUACUGCUUUGGGGGCAGGCCUGGGUAUCUGCUGUCUGCACAGGAGCUGACAGCAAAGGAAAGAAUUGUUGCAAAAACAAAAACUGCAAAACCAGAGGAACUGCAUCACUUCCCGGCACCUGCAGCUGUGGGGCCCUUCCUCUCCGUGGCUCCUGGGGGUGAGAGCCACCCUGCCACGCUCAACAGCUCCCUCCAGCCUGUGGGUUGGGUGGGGGUUUUGUGCAAUCCUAAUACAGUGCAGGCAUUCCCUCACUUCUGGGGAGCUUCAAUCCUAUAGGUCAGGCAUGCUGGGCUGGGGCAAGUGACAGUGCUGACAGGCUGAGGUCACUAGCAGGCCUCGAUUCAUGCAUUCCUCUACAUGUGCCACAAAGUCCAGGAUGAUAAACCACAGGCUAAUCCUGGCUGUGGGGCAGAGAUCUGCUUCCUGAGUUUGUCCCUCUAGGAUGGGGAGAGCAGCCCUAUCUGCCACCUGUGCUGGGACAGGGAGAGGGGGGACACAAACGAGGGUGGGGGCAGGAGUGGCUCUCAGCUCCCCAUUUUCUUGGCUCUUUUUCUUACCUGGUCCCAGCUGAGUCACACACAGUCCUCCCCCACCUUCAUCAUGGCCCCAAAAGCCACAGUGCUGAGGGAGGGACAGGAUGUCCCAGUCCUGUGGAGUCUCUGGUGUGCAGUACAGGGGUUGGUCACACACUGGCCUUCCCCAGGAACAAAAUGGAAGCAGGUCUGCCCCUCAUCCUCCAUCCUGGCCUUGGCUCUUUGCACACACUGGAGGGACCAAGGGGCCUUUUCCUCCCCUCUCUCAAACCCUGCUGAUGUCAGCACUGGGCUCAGCAGCUUUAUUGUAGGGAGAAAGACACCAAGCUGUCACAUGGCCUCUGCUAUUUCCUAAGAAACCAGCUUGAAAAUAUAAAGGAAAAAAAAAUAAAAAUAAAAGAACAAUUAAAAAAAAAGAAAAAAGGGGGGAAAAGAAAAAAAGCAAAGCAACAAGAAGGGAGAGCAGAAGGCUGGAGAGCCUGACAGAGCACCCACAGGGACAGAUUACAGGGGAACACUAAGGUUUAAAGCAAGCAGGAGGAAUGGUCCCUGACCCACCAUGCCCCUACUGCCAUGGCAAAUGUCAGUCCCUCUGCCAAACCCCACACAGGCAGCCCAGCCCUGGACCAUCAGUGGGAAAACACAGUGGGAAGGAUUUGUGUCUGUCCUUUGCUUGUAGUGGAUCAAAAGCAGGGGAUGGCUUCUGUGACACAGCCAGCAAAGGGGGGAAUAAAGAAUAUACUUCUGGCCAAAGCAGAGUCCUUCUUUAGUGACACCAAAGUGCUACCUGGCUUGCAAACUUAAAAAACCCAACACAAACAAACUUCUAAGAAAAAUAAAGCAAGGACAAGCUCUCUUCACUGCGUCAAUUUAAUUGCAUCAACACCCAGAAAUACACAUGCCAAGAGCCACCCAUCCAAGAGAGCAUCCUUCCAUGGUGGGUCUUACUUUCACACUCCUUUCACUCAAAAAUAAAAAGAAAAAAAGAAGAAAAUAAAAGAAAAAAA